rnacentral:sRNA from 1 species
AAAUAAAAUUUUAAAAAAUGAAGUAGGGACUUCACUCUUUCACUUUAUUGCUCUUUUUCUUUUUCCAUUUUUGUAUCUUUCUUCCUCCACUUGUGUUAUAUUUUUUUGAGAUUAAGUCUCAUAUUAUGUAGUUUUGGAUGCCUUAAACACGUGUUGGAAUGUGUUUUUUCCCAGUUGUAACUCAUCAUCUUAUGUUCAGAUUUUAUAUAAGUUCCUCAUUGAAAUAUAUGUUCUAUGAUGAUAUUAUUUUCACCGUUUAUUUCUUAUUCACUCAAACACUUCCAUUUUUAAGUUAAAACUUAAGUGUAAAGAAUGUUCUGAUAACAUACUUCUAUAGUUUUUAAGGACCUUUUCUCCUGAGAUCUGUGAGUUCACUUAAUAUUGUAUAUUUUACAUAUAUCUUUCUGCAAAUUUUCUGAUUUAAUUUUUCUUAAGACCUGAAUGCCUAUCCCACAGUAUAAAUCUUAACAAAUUUACCAAAUGUCCAUUGUUGCUUCCUUCAUCCACUAGGUUUGCUUCAUUUCCUUGGUCAUAUACCUUUUUUAUGAUAGUGUGUGGCUUCUCUAUGUAUAUGCUUAGGAGAUAAAUAGCUGGGAUAUACACUAGUUAUAUCUUUAAUUCUGUUUUUUUUAAUAGUAAAACUGUACCACUGAAUGUAGCACAGUUUAUUCAAUGCCCAUACCAAUCAGCGGAAUGCAAAGUUGAAGUCCUUUGAGAUACUAGAUUACAUCAGUCCAAAUUAUUGUCAUGAAGCAAUAUGAAAGUAUAUGGAUGAAGAAGUAUGGAUGUUAUACACUGAUGAUAUGGUUGCAAAUUAAUAGUUAUUGUGGAUUUUUCUUUUUUAACCUUUCCAAUUAUACUUUGUGUCUCAUAUGCACAGACACUGUGGAAAUCACAGAUAGUCACUGAAAAACUUAUCAUUGCCUACCUAAUGAAUGCACACAGCUGCUCUCUGGGAAGAGAUCCCCUUAGGAUAGAUCUCUCAAACAGAUACAGUUCUGAUUCUGUCAUUGUAGGUCUUGUAUUAAGUUGUGCAUUCUUCAUGGCAUUGUCAGCCCUAAAAGUUGCGUAGGCAGAACAUUGAAAUUCCUAUAGCAACUCUGUAUGUGAAGGGCCUCGGUACCAGAGCACUUUAAUUGCACUGAAGACGUUGAGGGCAGACUAUAGUAGGAAAAUGUGUCUUUCCCUUAUUUUCAGUUUGUUACAAUACCUUCCUUACUUCUCUUUCCACAGGUUUAUAUUCUUUGGAAGAACUGAGUCUUAAUGUGAAUUAUUCUGAGGAAUAGAGGCAGAAUGGGUUGAAACAUGCAGUCCUCAGGGAUUUAGUCAGUGAAGGAAGUGCUUAUUGUCAAGCAAGGUGUUGUUGAAGAUAGCCCAGAGACAUCAUCACAUGAAUUUUAAGACUCCAAAAGGGGAUGCUUUCUUUAAUGUUUGAUUUAGCGGUCCAACAGGGGCAUUGUAUGUGUCAAAAUAUGUUGAGAAACUGAAGACUCAGAAGUCUAUAGGUGUGUGGAGACACCAGAGAUAAGAAAACUUUUAUGAAGGUAAUGGAUUACAGUCUUCUAAGAAAGAUUAAUUGUGAUAGAAAGGAGACAGGCCAACAGACAGAUACAAAGAAACAGAGGGACAAAGCAAUAGCAGAAAAACAAAGAGUCAGAGACAUUUCUAGCACCAUAACCCUAGAUGGUAUGAACAAUAUGGAUAAGGAGAUAGAAGGGCAACCAGUGCAUCAGGUUGACCAUUCCCCAUAAAACAAGGCAGAGAAUUGUUCACACAUUGGUGAUAAUGACAACAUGGAGGAAUACUUCCGAUUAAAUGUGAUGUUUUGGAGGCAUAUUUUAAUUAGGGGAUAUACUUAGCUUCUUGGAUAGCACAGGUCAGUGAAACCCAGUAAGCUUGUCUUUGGAAAUGCCAUCAGUGAACCAAUAUUGAAAAGGAGAGACAUUGUCAGAAGAUGACCAUUGAUGGUAAUUUAAUACUCAUUUGCUGUGGUUGGAAGUAUUUGAUAUAUUAGAAACCUUAUGAAAUCAGUGACUACAGUCAAAAAAAAAAGGUACAAAGACAUUGCUUUAGGCCAGACAGGGAGAAAACUAGAGAGUAAGACAUUGACACUAAUGUACUUACAGAAACCCUUGGGGAAAACACUGGCAUUGCUGCAUGAUAGGAGGGUUUAGGUAGAUCAUGUGAAGGAAAAGAAUAGGUGUUACUUGGUGUUCCCAGUCAGAUUGGAGUAUUGCAACACCACCAUGAUGUAUCCAUUUUCUGUAGAGAAUGUAUGUGCUUUAUGUUUUCAUCUCAAGGUUUACUCCCAUGAGUCAUACCUUCAGUCCAAUAAGAGGAAGAACAAAUCAUUUAUGAAUUGAGGAAUGCACCUAGUAGUGCCUCAUGCAAUGUGGUUCAAGGUGCUGGACCCACAGAAAAAAGUAAAGAUUACAGGUAAGCAUUAUUUGAAUUCCCCAAAUUGUUCAUUACUCUUAAGGUUUUGGUAGAAGUGCUAUGACCUAAAAUUCCACAAACCUUGUCAAAUCUUAACAUGUCCCACAUUUAAAGUUUCUGACAGUUACUACCAUUGGAAAGCAAGACACCUUUACUCCUGGAUGCGUAAGGUCUUAAAUUUCAACAUACUUAUCAUAUAUCUCCAGUUUUAAGAGUGUAAUGACCACCUGAUUGCAAGCAUCCAUUGGCUAGUUAGCCAAAAUGGUAACUUCCUGUCAAACAUUCAUUUGUAAGAGCUUGACAAAAUAAGUGAAUAUUCAUUAUCACCAUUCUAAUAAUGACUGAAAUGCAGCACAUUUACUGAUUCAAGUACUUUACAAGUCAGGCAGCUAUUUCUAAAUCAUUGCACUGCCUUUGCUGACCACCCGGUUUGGCAAAGUUGUCUUACAGAAAGACCUAAGUUUUUAAAUUUUUACAUUUUUUUGGUAAACAAAUAUGUUUGUAGUAAGUGAGCAUAAUUUGAUUACAUAGGAAUCUCCCUGUGGUAUUGUUGCUAUGCAGGCAAGAGUGGGAUGAAAUGAGAGAACAGAGUCACAGACACCAGCAGCAGAUGCACAGUUACUUCCUUCUCAAAGUAUGUAUUUUCUGUAUGAAUAUGUUAUCAGGCCUGAGUUUAGUACUAACCAUGGAGUAGAAGUCAAAGAAAUACAUAGAAAUAAGACUCUGUCCUAGAAUUUGCUAUAUUGUGACUGUUAUCAGUGUAAUCCACAGUGGUGAGCUACAUCUGCUUUGGUAAUGAGUAGAAGUACUGUGGGUCCCUGAAGGUCAGAACGUGAUUUGGAAGCCACAGUUGAAAAGAGAACAAGAGACCAUUUGUGAAGUUGGUGAAGGCUGGAUGGACUAUGCUGUGGGGCAUAGGAUCUUUGGUCCAGUGUUUGGAGUGUUUUAUUUUAAUUUCCAAGACAUUUCUGUAAGUAAAUGUGCCCUUUGUGUUGUUGACAAACUAAAAGUAGUUCAGUGUACCAACUUAGAAAGAGCAAGGGUGACAACUGUUAGACAUGGAAGGCAUCUAAUUCCCAUGUUUGCUUCCCUGACUUACACCUAUAGAUGUGCACCUAGAAUUUAGUCUUGGAUUUCAGAGUAAACAGGUAAAAUAUUGAGUUCUGUAUAACUUUGUAUGAUACAGGUGUGUAAAUCAGUAUAGAAAGAAUUGUUUAGCAACAUAACAUAGUCAUGGUAGUUCUAUGGGAAUCUUUGACGCACCAAAAUGGCUUCCACUAGGAAGCUGGCAAAGCAAAGAUGUGAGAGUGCUAGAUAUGGAAUUGCUAGGGUCAAUGACUUUCUGACCCAUUACAUUGUGACAGUACAUGUCUUGAAAAAACCUUAAAAAUGUAGAUGGUUGCCAUAGUGAGACUACAUAAUAAUGUGGACCUCAGAAUAGUGAUAUAUCUAUAUUUUCAUAUUUUUGGGCCUUGAACCUAUUUCUGUCUUGUUCUGACCCUUUUUAUUAUGAAGAGUGCCUGAGGGUUGCCUGAGUUCACAGAGGAAGUCAAUGAAAGCUGCUGAGUCCAGCUAUUUGGAAUUCAUUACUCCUUUCUCAUUCUUAAAACUUGGAGGCAAGAUUUGGGUGAGAGGAUGGAAAUGUUUUCUAUUUUCCAUCACACUCAUAGAAUGCUGGAGGGUCUCUUUUAGGUCUUAGUGAACUUUAUAAGAAGAAUGGCAACAUAAUGUGUUAUACUCUGAAGUUUUGGUGAUGUUUCCUGAAGGAUUGCAUGGUCUCCAGUUUGGUAGCCAUUUUAAUAAAGUGUUUAAUGGCAUGCAUAUUGGUAGAUAGGUAUAUAGAAAGAAAGAAAGAAAGAGACAGAUAUAUAAAAAACGAAUAGAGGUUAGUUCAUACAGCCUCAGAAAGUAUGCCACCUACUGCUAGGAAACUGGAAUGAUAAUGGGUGAAAAAUUCAAACACACUUGUUUAAAGUUUCUCAGCAUGUAUUGAAAAUUAUGGCUUCAUAAGAGUGCCUGUGGUCUUUCUGAAUGUUUAGGUAGCUAUUUUAGAGUGGCUUGAUGUGCUGUAUAUCUUCGGAUUAGUUCUAUUAUUCCAGACAUGUACAAAGGCUAUCCUGAAGGCAAGGAAGGAAGAUAGGAUUAGGCCAAGUUCUUGAUAAUAUUAUGACACUAUACCCAAGGAAACCCUAGAAAAAAAACCCUCAGUGACUUUGCAAGUAUGUGAUAUGGGUUUGAGGAAGGUCAGACAUGACCCUCAGGUUCAGACCCAGAUACACACCAAUUUUCAUUUGGCCCUCUGUAACUGAGGUAUGUGCUUUGAUCUGUCUUCUCAGGGUCACAUUCUGUGGGGCCUGAAGACACAGUGCAGAUAUCCAUGGUUCACAUCUUUGGAUGAGAAGUUGUUUGGUGUGUCUGUCUUUCCUGAGAACAACUGGAGUUUACAGGGUCACAUUCCCCACCCAGAAUGGGCCAUGGUUGACAUCCAGAGAAAGUGGCCCCACAGAAUUGAAGCAUGGCUGACUGCACCCAUCUGAUCUUCUGGUGAAGCCUUUUGUGGAUACUGACUUGCUCGAAGGCUCUAGACAGCAUAGGGUCACAUUCCUCACCCAGAAUGGGCCAGGGUUGACAUCCAGACAAAUUGGACCAACAGCAUUGAAGGAUGGCUGACUGCACACAACAGACCUUCCAGUGAAGAUUUUGUGGAUACUGACUUGCUCGAAGGCUCUAGACAGCAUAGGUAAGGAAAUGAUUAUUUGCCUGAAGAACUCAAGUUGCUCAGGUGUUGUUGGAUGUCGCUGGAGCAGCCACACAGACAUCCUGUGCCUUAGGUACCUGGAGCAUAUAUAUGGUGUAUCCAAGCUCCAACAUCUGGAGCUAGGGCCCAUUGCUUCCUGAUAAUGAAUGGGGAAUAUCAUGCAGUACUCUGCACUUCCCAAAGCAUGGGCAGGACAGAAUACCUGUUGCUCUUUGUGCAAGGCAGUUAGGUCUGACUGGAUCAUGAUGAUUCUCAGUCAAACAUUCCUUGGAAAAGCUGAACAAAAUGAGUGAAAACUCAGCACCGCUAUUGUCAUCAGAACUGAUGUCCGGCACCUUGUGUCAGCCAGGUCUCAUGGAGGUCAUAAAGAGGCUUGCGAACAAUUCCAAUGUCCUUGCCAUCGUCGGCGUCUAGCCAGACUCCUACAGUCAGGCCUUGGCUUUGUUACUGUAUGAGAAACUUUGGCCUAGGUCAAGAAUCCCCCUUUUGUUGUAUUUGGAUUAGUUCUCUGUGGUUGAUGAGACACUUGGCAGGGACAUUAGUAGGUAAUCCUCUUUCUGCACGCAGCGCCCUGCAUCCACAUAAAAGGAGCAGAUUGAGGCAGACAUAGGGAGUAGCAGUGGCAUCAAAGUGUGUCUGCACAUUGAAAUGCCUGGAAGAAGGAUCAGGCUUCUCAGAACCCUUGAUAUGAAUUGCUUCCUGAUGUUUUGCUGUAAAGGAAGACACUCAAGUGCAAGUUGCUGGUUUCAAGUGGCCUAAUGCAGUUGCAAUUUGCAGGGAGUGUAUGACUUUUGGAAUUUGAAGAGUCUGAGUUCCUGUCCACCUGAAAUAUUCUGGGGCAACUGGCUAGGAAAGAGAGCAUGACCCACAAAUGGGAGGUUAUGUGAGAGACUUCUAUUGAAAAUCUCCACCUGAUUUGCAAUCUUAAAUGUGUCCCAGGAUAUAUGGUGCUUUCAAGGACUCAAACAGAGAAAUGGGAUUUGCCAACACUUCAGUUUCAUAAAACAAGUACAUAACGUGAAGUUUGCAGAUGAUAUGUGGAAUGAGGCAGUAGCAGUUAUCUGGAAACAUGUGAAUGUGGACUCUUCUUGUGUGAAAACAAGCUAUGUUGUCUUGAAAGACUGUAUGUGGCCAUGGCAAUUAGGUUGGAAAGGGAGCCUUGGAAUUUAAAGGGUUGGCUUGUAACCUUCAUAUCGGUUGCUUCCAGAAUUGAAUGAUUUCAAGUGUCCCAGGUUCAUACCAUCUUCAUGGACAUAUGCAGGACACCCAUUUUAAUCCUAGUUUCUAUGUUUAUUGUUGUGAUUUUUUUUAGUCUCUCCACGUAGUGGGCCAGCAGUUCUUAUUGAUUGACUGUAACAAAGAAGAUCUGGAAAAAUAUCUAGUCCUCUUCUAGGAUCUAAGAAUGUAAGCCUGCAAGUAUGUUCUUAAACACAGUCCUUUUAGGAAUGUAAUAUUUUGGUAUGGCCAAAAAAGAAAUGUAUGGAGUGUCUAUGGACAUUGAGUAUUAAUGUUUGUUAUAGGCAUAGAAUCAUGCUGUUUAUAAUUUUAUAGGUCGCAGUGCUUACAGGUUAUGCUUGUGUUUGGUGACGUAAGAGGGUUUGAACAGAUACUUUCUCUGUGGUGAUCAAUGUCAGAUACCACAGCAAUAGGACUCACAUGAAUUUAGUACCAGUAAAAACCUGAAUUGGAGAUAUAUGAAGAUAGACAGAGAAAGAGACAAAGAACAAUUUUUGAAGAGGCAAAUCAUGUGGGAGAUACAGGAAUACAGAGAGAGACAGAGACAGAGAGAGACAGAGAGAGGUGAAGUGGAAAGAGGACACUGUGAUAUUAAGGCAGAUACCUUGAUUGACAGAAAUAAGGAAACCAAAGACAGAGACUGAGAGUGAGAAAGAGAGAAGCAGGGAGAGUCACUGCAAGACAAUUUCAGAGAGAAAAAGAAGAAGAGAGAUAGAGACAUAGUACUUAAUUAGUCCAUUCAACUAAUGCAGAUGAGAAUAGUAUGUGAUGUUGAAUAGGGUCACAUCGAAGGCAGAGUAGGACUAAUUGGUGUAGUAUGUCAUGAUUAAUGGAGGGUGCUCAGUUAUGGCCAAAGCUAUUAAGAUUCUGGUGGUUUCCAUGGGAAGAGUAAGGCCUGAUUGUCUCUGGAAUAUCCAGCUGAACUAAGAUUUACUUAUUUUUGUAGGCACCUUCCAUUGAGCCUGGUUAGUGGUUUCAUUCUGUUGUGUACCUUGUGCUAAUUUUUUGGAUGGUUCUCAAGUGAUGUUCAUACUACUGUAGUUUUCAGGAUCAGAUAUUGGCUUCGUCCCAUUUUAAGGACUUUGUUCCAUGGUAACCUCCAGGUAUUCGGUGUUCUAAUUGGAAACUUACGUACCCAAACAGUUACUUGGGGAAAAAAUAUCUUUGAUAUGGAUUGUGAGGGAAAAGUUCUAGAGAGGGAAGUUGUGCUGAGAGCACCCAAGUGUUCGAUAAAUUAUGAACUAACCACAAUGCAUCACAGUCUCCAUGAUUUGCAAAAAAUCCAAUAAAGUGGGGGAAUGUGCUAUUUGCUUUACUUUCAGGGACAUAGUCCCUGUCGCAUACUGGACAACAUGGCUUUCAGAGGAAUAGAGUACGAACAUCAGAUGAAGUUUGAUGAAGCCUAAUAUUGCCUGCCCUGAAGUCAUCAGUUGAAGCUCUCUUGCCUGAGGAAACAUGAAGUGAAAGGGACAGAGUCCCUGUCUCAUACUGGACAAGGACGGCUUGCAGAGGAACUGAGUAGGGAACAUCACAUGAAGUUGGAAGAAGCCUAGCAUUGCCUGCCCUGAAGUCAUCAGUUGAAUCUCUCUUGCCUGAGGAUACCUGAAGUGAAAGGGACAGAGUCCCUGUCUCAUAACGGACAAGGACGGCUUGCAGAGGAACUGAGUAUGGAACAUCAGAUGAAGUUGGAAGAAGCCUAACAUCGCCUGCCCUGAUGUCAUCAGUUGAAGCUCUCUUGCCUGAG